UCCUUGUUAGCUCAGUUGGUAGAGCGUUCGGCUUUUAAACAAGAAUUGCUUAAUAAUUAAGUGAUUAGUUUAAACCAAGGAUACCGAAAUGUCAGGGGUUCGACCCCCCUAUGAGGAG
rnacentral:tRNA from 1 species